GAGGGAGACGCGCGAGGUCAGCCCCGCCUCUUCGCCGGCGAGGAGAAAGAGAGGCGGGGCGGAGGGGGGAGGAAAACCCCUCUGAGCUCCCUCACAUCCGGGCCUCCGGCGCCAGCCCAGCCCCGCGAUUGGCUGCGCGGCUUGCCCUCAUUUGCAUAACCCGCCCCUCUCUCCGUUCGCCGCUCGUGAAGGUCAGCUGCGCGCAAGUGCGCUUGCGCGGGAGGGAGGGGGACGGACGUUGUGGCGUCCUACCGUUCGGAGCCUGGACUGCGAUUCCCGGCAUGCAGCGCGCUGCCCCAAGGCGGUUGUUCUGCUGCUCUCUGGCCGGCGCCGGGCGAGCGCGGCAUUGCCGGGAAUUGUAGUUCUUGGCCCUACAAGACCAUGUGCGGCUCUUCCUAGUGAGGAGGACUAUUGUGACGCCUCUUCCGAGGUGCCGCCAUGCAAAUCCCCGCAGAAGACGCUCCUGCGAGCUUCACUGCAAGGUCACAAAAGGGCAACGACGGCGUCACGGCGUGGAGGGCGAGGGCGAGGAGGAAGUGUUCGCAGAUUCCCACACCCACAACCAGAUCCCUCCUUCCUUCCCUGGACGGAUUGUCCAGACACGUGAAACCCUUCAGAUGGCUGCAGAAGUGCGGGGGGGGGGAGCUGCCGAGGCAGGUUUAGCCCCACAGUAAAGGUUUACUCUCCCGAAAGUGUGUGUAAGAUUGCAGCAGCAUGAGCGCAGUCCUCUCUGCACCCUUAAGCUGAAGGCCCUGUAAAGUUCAGUUGCUUAGAUAUCUAAUUGAGCAAUGGGGGAAUCAUGACACUUCCGGAAUAGUUCAGUCUUGUCCAAGGGCCUGGGGGAGCUGGUGGGCCAGCUUCGGCAUCACCGUCACUGGGCCCAAGAAAAUUUCACUGAAUUUUCUCUCUCCUUUGACAAUCUUUUGAAUGAAGUCUAGAGUUUGUAUCCAACAGAAGAAGUUACCUUUAGUGAAAUGCAUCUUUGCUUUGAGCACACCUUUCGUUGGAAGGCGUUCAGAAUUCUUGAUAGGAAACUGAUUGGAGAAGCAAAGAAGCCAUGCUUACCCCUUUGUUCUCCAAGAUGACAUUGCCACUUUGUUCUUCAAGAUGACAUUGCCACUUGAGAUUCAGAGAAAACGUGAGAGGAGAUGCAGAAGUGAAAGAGGAUGCAACUUAAUGCAGAUCAGUUUGACUUCAAAGUGCAGCUCAGCACAGAGAUCAAAGGGACAGAGACAGUUUAGGAAUCAGGAGAACUCCCGCUCUAUUUGUCAACCUCAUGCAGACUCUUCUGAGCAACCUUCAACAAUUUAUUUGUUCAUUAAUUGAAGGAGAAUGUUUGGGGGAGAUAAUGGAAGACAUUAUCAGCAUGCUAACAGUGCAAAACACCCUUGCCUUUUCACUUGUCAACAUUUUGCCUGUGACUUUCGUAGGGGCUAAAAUCGUGAAUAAUAAAGCGUCCAUGGAAUUAAAUUUAGGUAAAGCUGUACAGUGAAGGAUCCUAAGCACAUAGGGGGAAAUGAGUACAGUUUUCAUCUUACUUGAGAUGAGUACGUUUGUUUUAAUCUCACAGGCACACAUACAAGCUAGUUAUAGCUGCCAUGAAUAAACUUGUUUUGCACCAAACAUUAUAUUUUAAUUAAAUAAAAAAUGGUAUAAGCUUU